AGCGAACGCUGGCGGCAGGCCUAAAACAUGCAAGUCGAACGCCGUAGCAAUACGGAGUGGCAGACGGGUGAGUAACGCGUGGGAACGUGCCCUUUGGUACGGAACAACUGAGGGAAACUUCAGCUAAUACCGUAUGUGCCCUUCGGGGGAAAGAUUUAUCGCCAUUGGAGCGGCCCGCGUUGGAUUAGGUAGUUGGUGGGGUAAAGGCCUACCAAGCCUACGAUCCAUAGCUGGUCUGAGAGGAUGAUCAGCCACACUGGGACUGAGACACGGCCCAGACUCCUACGGGAGGCAGCAGUAGGGAAUCUUGCGCAAUGGGCGAAAGCCUGACGCAGCCAUGCCGCGUGUAUGAUGAAGGUCUUAGGAUUGUAAAAUACUUUCACCGGGGAAGAUAAUGACGGUACCCGGAGAAGAAGCCCCGGCUAACUUCGUGCCAGCCGCCGCCGUAACAC
rnacentral:rRNA from 1 species